GCCCGCCUAGCUCAAUCGGAUAGAGCGUCAGACUUUUACAAGUGGAUCUGAAGGCUGCGAGUUCGACCCUCGCGGUGGGCU
rnacentral:tRNA from 1 species